AUUGAACGCUGGCGGCAGGCCUAACACAUGCAAGUCGAACGGCAGCACAGAAGAGCUUGCUCUUUGGGUGGCGAGUGGCGGACGGGUGAGUAAUGUCUGGGAAACUGCCCGAUGGAGGGGGAUAACUACUGGAAACGGUAGCUAAUACCGCAUAACGUCGCAAGACCAAAGUGGGGGACCUUCGGGCCUCACACCAUCGGAUGUGCCCAGAUGGGAUUAGCUAGUAGGUGGGGUAAUGGCUCACCUAGGCGACGAUCCCUAGCUGGCCUGAGGGGAUGACCAGCCAAACUGGAACUGAGACACGGUCCAGACUCCUACGGGAGGCAGCAGUGGGGAAUAUUGCACAAUGGGCGCAAGCCUGAUGCAGCCAUGCCGCGUGUAUGAAGAAGGCCUUCGGGUUGUAAAGUACUUUCAGCGGGGAGGAAGGCGGUGAGGUUAAUAACCUUGCCGAUUGACGUUACCCGCAGAAGAAGCACCGGCUAACUCCGUGCCAGCCGCCGCAGUAACAC
rnacentral:rRNA from 1 species